rnacentral:rRNA from 1 species
GGUAACAUUUCUAGCUUGCUAGAAGAUGACGAGUGGCGGACGGGUGAGUAAUGCUUGGGAACUUGCCUUUGCGAGGGGGAUAACAGUUGGAAACGACUGCUAAUACCGCAUAAUGUCUUCGGACCAAACGGGGCUUCGGCUCCGGCGCAAAGAGAGGCCCAAGUGAGAUUAGCUAGUUGGUAAGGUAACGGCUUACCAAGGCGACGAUCUCUAGCUGUUCUGAGAGGAAGAUCAGCCACACUGGGACUGAGACACGGCCCAGACUCCUACGGGAGGCAGCAGUGGGGAAUAUUGCACAAUGGGGGAAACCCUGAUGCAGCCAUGCCGCGUGUGUGAAGAAGGCCUUCGGGUUGUAAAGCACUUUCAGUUGUGAGGAAAAGUUAGUAGCUAAUACCUGCUAGCCGUGACGUUAACAACAGAAGAAGCACCGGCUAACUCCGUGCCAGCAGCCGCGGUAAUACGGAGGGUGCGAGCGUUAAUCGGAAUUACUGGGCGUAAAGCGCACGCAGGCGGUUUGUUAAGCUAGAUGUGAAAGCCCCGGGCUCAACCUGGGAUGGUCAUUUAGAACUGGCAGACUAGAGUCUUGGAGAGGGGAGUGGAAUUCCAGGUGUAGCGGUGAAAUGCGUAGAUAUCUGGAGGAACAUCAGUGGCGAAGGCGACUCCNNGGCCAAAGACUGACGCUCAUGUGCGAAAGUGUGGGUAGCGAACAGGAUUAGAUACCCUGGUAGUCCACACCGUAAACGCUGUCUACUAGCUGUGUGUGCCUUUAAGGCGUGCGUAGCGAAGCUAACGCGCUAAGUAGACCGCCUGGGGAGUACGGCCGCAAGGUUAAAACUCAAAUGAAUUGACGGGGGCCCGCACAAGCGGUGGAGCAUGUGGUUUAAUUCGAUGCAACGCGAAGAACCUUACCUAC